GCCAAGCCGAGCCGGUCCCUGUCUUCUUCCAGCCGAGCCGCCAAGACCAAAUUGGCUCCAUCCACCUAAAUUUUGGUAAUUUAAUUAAUUAUUGUGGCAUUUCCCAGUAAGACUCCAUGCUUCGGACGUCAAUUAAAUUAAUUUGGGACUAAAAUUAAGUUAUUUUCCUUAAGGGACGUCUUGGACCAAGUAAUUGCUGCAGCGCGGGAAUUCUUCAGCAGGGGGGCUCGAGCACUGCAACCUCUCUAGGUUAGGACUUCGUCGCUUGGAAAGCGUACUGCCUCGCGGUUAGGACUCGACAAGUAGAUCUCCAGGUAGAGGACGAGGCAAGGGCAAGGGCAAGCUGGCGAGCGACCCGAAGUGAGACCGUGAAGGGCCAUAGGGACUACCGCUUCCGCUUAUCUUUAUUUCAGACUUUCGCAUUUGAGUUUGAGUACUUUUCAUUA